AGCUGUGUCCUGGCUCAGACGGACAGCUCUGACUCGCUCGCUCUUUCUCUGGGCGCCUGCGCGCCUACCAUGACAAGCCAUUUCAGGCGAGCCGAGCCCCAGAGCCAUGUGUCUGGUGCGCAGUGUUAACAGGGCAGUUAUACCUUUUACAGACAACUGUGGCUCCAAGUCAAGUAUGAACUUACACAAACAGUUUAUAUAACAAGUGGAGGUGUGCGCCUGCGUGCCAAACUUGCUGACUCGUGCAGGCCUGGAUACCCGCCUCAGACUAUUCCUUGACCGAAGCACUUCCAGGGCAGGAAACUGAAGCUCUUGGGAAGGUGGAAGUUGCACGUGGUCUCACAGUCAACUGUGCCAGAAUAGGAGGCCAGGAACCAUCUCUGCUGGAGGAAGACCCACCACGCAUCCCUUCAAGAAUGCCAAGGUCCAGAGCAAGUGCUUCCCUUCUAUGGGCACAGGAGGGCUGUGGGAGCCCACAGAAUGUGCUUCUGGCCAGAGUGGGAUCCCCGAGGAAGAUGUUAAGACCUCUAAUAAUAUUUAAGAGCAAAAUUAGCACAGCUCCAGCCCAUGGGCAAGUUAAGAGACAGGAGUAGUGUCUGUGGAGUGGAGGAAAGCAGAGGCUGCCGCUGACCAUCCUGCAGCCCUCGCUCUGGCUGCUCACAGCUCUCCACCUUCUCUGGACUUCGUCACUUCAGUAUGUGAAACAACCAUUUCAACCAGCUUGGACAAAAGAGAGAAGCCAAGAUGGGGCUGAGAAACCAAUGCAGGCAGGCCCAGGGACCCAGGAGUCAGGGACCAGGUGCUACCAGAUGCUUGCUCCGACUCGUGUUGCUGCUGUCUUCUCUGUGCCUCAACUCUGUCCUCUGUCACUGCAGGCAGCUUCCUCCCAAGGUGGAAGGUGAUAUAUCCCACCUCAUGAAAUCAGGCUUCACCACAAGAUUGCUUUGACCAAGGGGACGUGAGUAGAAGUUUGAAGAACCACAGACUGGUCCAUCACCUUGUUUCUUAUCCCUCUGACAUAAGCAAUGUCCCAGACUGGGGCUGUUCUGUUAGCCUGGCUUCCAGAAUGAAGAGAGCUGAUCUACAUGGCAUAUGUAAGAUAAAUAAACCUUUGUUAUUACAAACCACUGAA
rnacentral:lncRNA from 10 species